UAUUGAACUUUCAGUCUGCGGCAGCUCAGGCGUAGGAGUGCGCGCCAUUUCAAUAUUGACACCCCACGUUAACGAUACGCGUGGCGGCAGUAAUAUAAGUGGGAAAACAUCGAAUCCGACACAAGGGCGGUCCAUUGAUGAGGCACAGGCUCCAAAAAAGGGGCCACGCGUGGUCUCGUUGAGCUGGUUUUCUUGUGACCAUUCCAGGCCGAAAAAUGUGCACAAACGCAACUGCUCCAGAUGGUAAAGUACAGCUCUCGUCAAACUAGCCGAAGACAUCACUCAGCGGUGUCCAACCCGUGGAAAACUAUAGCUUCUCAACGCGCCCGGAGAGGUGUACCGUUACCGUGGUGGCGCAACGCAGCAACCAUGUGGUUUUUGCCAAUUUCGGACAUUACUCAGCGAUGAUCGAUGAUUGUAUAUGUGUUGCGAAAAUCGUGGCAGGCGGGCGGGCGGGCAGGCAGGUUGGGUUGCCGGGGCAAUUGGGUAAUUCGCCAAAAAAUGUUCGAUGGCCCACAGCGCGAAAAAUGGGAAACGUAAUCGCGCAUUGGGUGCUGCAGACGACUGACUGGGACGCGAGGAGAGUUCGUUGCCUCCUCGGGCGUUUCAAUUUCGGUGACGGGUUGGAAAGGCAUCGUUGGGCUAGGAAUGCUACCAUUGAACGAAUUUGAAAAAUAUCACGACAAAAAAUCGUAAAAAUUCUAAA